rnacentral:rRNA from 1 species
UACGUAGGGGGCAAGCGUUGUCCGGAAUUAUUGGGCGUAAAGAGCGUGUAGGCGGUCCGAUAAGUCGGCUGUGAAAGUCCAGGGCUCAACUCUGGAAUGCCGGCCGAUACUGUCGGACUAGAGUCCGGAAGAGGUGAGUGGAAUUCCCGGUGUAGCGGUGAAAUGCGCAGAUAUCAGGAGGAACACCAAUUGCGAAGGCAGCUCGCUGGGACGUUACUGACGCUGAGACGCGAAAGCGUGGGGAGCAAACAGG